rnacentral:rRNA from 1 species
GACGAACGCUGGCGGCGUGCUUAACACAUGCAAGUCGAGCGGUAAGGCCCUUUCGGGGGUACACGAGCGGCGAACGGGUGAGUAACACGUGGGUGACCUGCCCUCAGCUCUGGGAUAAGCCUGGGAAACCGGGUCUAAUACCGGAUAUGACUCCAUGACGCAUGUUGUGGGGUGGAAAGCCUUGUGCGGCUGAGGAUGGGCCCGCGGCCUAUCAGCUUGUUGGUGGGGUGAUGGCCUACCAAGGCAACGACGGGUAGCCGGCCUGAGAGGGCGACCGGCCACACUGGGACUGAGACACGGCCCAGACUCCUACGGGAGGCAGCAGUGGGGAAUCUUGCGGCAAUGGGCGAAAGCCUGACGCAGCGACGCCGCGUGAGGGAUGACGGCCUGGUGU